rnacentral:rRNA from 1 species
GCCUCCCUCUUUCCUCGUGCUUAACACAUGCAAGUCGAACGGAAAGGCCCUGCUUUUGUGGGGUGCUCGAGUGGCGAACGGGUGAGUAACACGUGAGUAACCUGCCCUUGACUUUGGGAUAACUUCAGGAAACUGGGGCUAAUACCGGAUAGGAGCUCCUGCUGCAUGGUGGGGGUUGGAAAGUUUCGGCGGUUGGGGAUGGACUCGCGGCUUAUCAGCUUGUUGGUGGGGUAGUGGCUUACCAAGGCUUUGCCGGGUAGCCGGCCUGAGAGGGUGACCGGCCACAUUGGGACUGAGAUACGGCCCAGACUCCUACGGGAGGCAGCAGUGGGGAAUAUUGCACAAUGGGCGGAAGCCUGAUGCAGCAACGCCGCGUGCGGGAUGACGGCCUUCGGGUUGUAAACCGCUUUCGCCUGUGACGAAGCGUGAGUGACGGUAAUGGGUAAAGAAGCACCGGCUAACUACGUG